GGGUCAGUAGGUUGGUCGUGCCACCGGUACGUACUGGUCUCACUGAUUCCUCCAUCCUGAAGAACCGUAAUGCCAUUAAUUUGGUGUUGAGGGGAAACAGGACUGUUACUUUGAAAAAAUUAGAGUGUUUAAAGCAAGCUAACGCUUGAAUACAUUAGCAUGGAAUAAUGAAAUAGGACGAUCGAUCCUAUUUUGUUGGUUUCUAGGAUUGACGUA
rnacentral:rRNA from 1 species